UACGUAGGGUGCAAGCGUUAAUCGGAAUUACUGGGCGUAAAGCGUGCGUAGGCGGCUAUGUAAGACAGAUGUGAAAUCCCUGGGCUUAACCUAGGAACUGCAUUUGUGACUGCAUUGCUAGAGUGUGGUAGAGGGAGAUGGAAUUCCGCAUGUAGCAGUGAAAUGCGUAGAGAUGUGGAGGAAUACCGAUGGCGAAGGCAACCCCCUGGGCCAAUACUGACGCUCAUGCACGAAAGCGUGGGGAGCAAACAGG
rnacentral:rRNA from 1 species